GAUGAACGCUGGCGGCGUGCCUAACACAUGCAAGUCGAGCGGACAGACGAGGCUCUUGCGGGGCUCACGUUAGGGGAGGGCGGGUGAAAAACACGAGUAUAACCUACCUAUCAGACUGAGAUCACUACGGGACAGCGGAUAUAACACCAGAGAAGAUAUUGAACCACGGGGGGCGUUGGAGAGAGACGGCUGUGCUGUCACUAAUAGAGGGUUCCGAGCCGUAUUAGCUGGUUGGUAAGGUAACGGCUUACCAAGGCUACGAUGCGUAGCCGACCUGAGAGGGUGAUCGGCCACACUGGAACUGAGACACGGUCCAGACUCCUACGGGAGGCAGCAGUAGGGAAUCUUCCGCAAUGGGCGAAAGCCUGACGGAGCAACGCCGCGUGAGUGAUGAAGGUCUUCGGAUCGUAAAGCUCUGUUAUUAGGGAAGAACAAAUGUGUAAGUAACUAUGCACGUCUUGACGGUACCGAAUAAGAAAGCCCCGGCUAACUACGUG
rnacentral:rRNA from 1 species